rnacentral:lncRNA from 1 species
CGUAUAAUUUUCCCAGAAAAUAGCAAUACGUACAUAUAUAGAAAUCAUGCUCGACAGCAGUGAAAACCAAGUAUAUGCCAUGUCGAGUAUCUCAGUAAUAAAUAUGUAAGCCAAGUGAAACAAUUCAAUGUAAAAUUAUAUGUCAGUCGGAGUCACCUAAUGUGACCUGUACGGCUGAACCUAUAGCUCAGCACUCUAAUCCUGCACACGAGUUGGAACCACCUCAGGUGGUAUGUACAACAGGGUUGGGUGCAAAUAAGUACGCUCAAGUGCGAUAAAUCGCGGGUCACCUAUGAGUUGGAACCACCUAUUGUAGUCUGUACAACAGGGCUGUGCACCAAACUUGGUUCCAAGGUAAACGUGUGGUGCGGGAGGUGAACAUCACGUGAAGGAAUGUGCCCUGGCCACGGGCAGAAGCACUAGCACCGGGGUGCAGGAUAAUGAGCUCUAAACACAUCUCAUCACAAUCAUAUACACUGCAAUCUCUAUCAUCAACAUCUACUCACCUAAAACUUAACUGAGCGUCCGCAAUGUCAAAUACUAACAUACAUAACUACUAAUGCAUAUUCUAAAAUAUAAAACAAUUGACAUGGCAUUUAAAAUGCAAAAUCAUUUAAAUAAAUUUUCUGGAAAAAACGUAAAGCAUAUAUACAUAUAUUGAAAACCAAAAGCCCACUCACUUGGAUUCCGCGCUACAACUCCCUAGGACACACCUCAAGGAGUCAUGAACAAUCGACGCCUAGAACAAUUAUCAAAUCAUGUCUCAGAAAUUUUAUCGAUAAAAUAUGUAACUUACAUAAAACACAUCCCUACGUAAUUCGAUCCGGAAGAUCCGCAUCGCGGAUUUCUGAUCCCUUACUUCCAAAGAUCCACAUUAUGCUUAUAGAACAACAUACUAAAGUUUCAUUACGAUACAACGGUUGGAUCUCUGCCAAUUACAAAUUCAAGUGGCGGUUAACGUUUUAUUUUAUCAACUUACAAAUCCAAUUCAGGAAGAUCCGUACGUCGGAUUCCCGAUCCGUAAGUUUCUAUGGUCCUCAAAUAUUACGUACUAUAACAUAUU